rnacentral:rRNA from 1 species
GAUGAACGCUGGCGGCGUGCCUAAUACAUGAAAGUCGAGCGAACAGACGAGGAGCUUGCUCCUCUGACGUUAGCGGCGGACGGGUGAGUAACACGUGGAUAACCUACCUAUAAGACUGGGAUAACUUCGGGAAACCGGAGCUAAUACCGGAUAAUAUAUUGAACCGCAUGGUUGAAUAGUGAAAGACGGUUUUGCUGUCACUUAUAGAUGGAUCCGCGCCGCAUUAGCUAGUUGGUAAGGUAACGGCUUACCAAGGCAACGAUGCGUAGCCGACCUGAGAGGGUGAUCGGCCACACUGGAACUGAGACACGGUCCAGACUCCUACGGGAGGCAGCAGUAGGGAAUCUUCCGCAAUGGGCGAAAGCCUGACGGAGCAACGCCGCGUGAGUGAUGAAGGUCUUCGGAUCGUAAAACUCUGUUAUUAGUGAAGAACAAAUGUGUAAGUAACUAUGCACGUCUUGACGGUACCUAAUCAGAAAGCCCCGGCUAACUACGUG